rnacentral:tRNA from 1 species
UCCUUGGUGGCUCAGAUGUUAGAGAAUCUGCCUGCAAUGCAGGAGACUCAGGUUCGAUCCCUAGGUCAGGAA